rnacentral:rRNA from 1 species
UACGUAGGGGGCUAGCGUUGUCCGGAAUCAUUGGGCGUAAAGCGCGUGUAGGCGGCUCGGUAAGUCCGCUGUGAAAGUCGGGGGCUCAACCUCGGAUGCCGGUGGAUACUGUCGGGCUAGAGUACGGAAGAGGCGAGUGGAAUUCCUGGUGUAGCGGUGAAAUGCGCAGAUAUCAGGAGGAACACCGGUGGCGAAGGCGGGUCUCUGG